UAGGGAAUAUUGCUCAAUGGGGGAAACCCUGAAGCAGCAACGCCGCGUGGAGGAUGUAAGGUUUUCGGAUUGUAAACUCCUUUUGUUAGAGAAGAUAAUGACGGUAUCUAACGAAUAAGCACCGGCUAACUCCGUGCC
rnacentral:rRNA from 1 species